CCCGGGGAGGGGGCGGGGGGGGAGGGCAGCGGAACGCAGCCCUGCCCGGGCGAUCGUGUGCUCGGCUGGUCGCGGAGCAGGGGCGAGACCCAGAUUGUACUGCUGGCUAUAUCGAGGAUGCAGCAGAGGAUACCCCUUCAGCAGACAGCAGAGUCACAUUAGGUGCGCAGGGAAACGCGGCGUAAUAAAACACCUUGUGGAGCGGUGCUGUGCAGAGAAGAGCUCGGCUGGCUGCUACUCGGGAGAUGGCUUGGAGGCCCAUUCCAGAAGUGCUCCGGCUGGCCAAGAGGAGUCUCCUCACAGCAGGUGUCAGUCUGGCACUGUGCUAUCCGCCCAGCAGUCGGGUGUCCUCGCCAGCCCCGGGAGCUGCCUCUUCAUCGGCUUCCUAAUUAACAAAGAACCGAUGCCGGCACUGGGGAUCUCAUCCCAGCAGUGCCGUCCCUUGCAGACCUGUAGCAGUGCCCGUCAGAUGGUCACUCUGAGCCCCACUUGACCUCUCAAGUACAGGCUCUGGACUCAAAAGCAGGAAUUAGCAGGCUUCAUCUUCUCCUUCGCAACAAACUGCGAAGAGCUUCAGCAGGAGGUUGGCUUCAGGGAGAGGCAAUGUAUCGGAACACAUUGCAAAAGACACUUCAUGCAAGAAAACAUGGGGAAGAUGUCUUCGGCUGAUGACGCAGUUCAAUUGCAAGGCGCAGUACUUGAUGAGGCUCGCGGAAGGAACCUGAGACAGGUCUGCUGCCAUCUAUACCAGCCGCAACAUGUAUAUUUAUAUGGAAAAUCUGGGGAUGGACUCGGUCAGAUGUUGCUGCAGCCUCGCCGUCCUUCUGCCACAGCCGAGAUCGGAAGGUGAAAUGAGACCUCUUUGCUCCUGCUUCACUCUCUCAUCACUAGCCGCAAGGAGUUUUAUGGCAAUUGGUCCUGUUCAGAUCCGGCAUGAAGGCAUCUGUGGCCCAAGGCAAGUUGAGAAUG